rnacentral:rRNA from 1 species
UACGAAGGGGGCUAGCGUUGCUCGGAAUCACUGGGCGUAAAGGGUGCGUAGGCGGGUCUUUAAGUCAGGGGUGAAAUCCUGGAGCUCAACUCCAGAACUGCCUUUGAUACUGAAGAUCUUGAGUUCGGGAGAGGUGAGUGGAACUGCGAGUGUAGAGGUGAAAUUCGUAGAUAUUCGCAAGAACACCGAUGGCGAAGGCGGCUCACUGGCCCGAUACUGACGCUGAGGCACGAAAGCGUGGGGAGCAAACAGG